rnacentral:misc_RNA from 1 species
CGCCUCCUGCGUUCUGCCCUCGCACGCCGCACCUUCCUCAGUGCAAACAGCAUCUGCUGGGGCGCCCUUCCCAUCUCACGAGGGGGACCGCGAGCACGGGCCAUAGUUGCAGAUUCAGCUCUGCCCCUCAUCACCUCUACCCCGCCCUCUCACAUACAGAGAAGUAAGAGGCACGCGCGCAGCGGCAUCUCUUCCUUUCACGCUCGCUCGCCCUCCGAUUGCCGCGUAGCGAGGUGGGCCAACGCGCGGCAGCCACAUCGACACGAGCGAUGCUGCAUGCCUGGUAACAGAUAGGGUAGAAAACGGACCGGGCAGCGCAGGGAGCGAGGGCCCAACAGACACCACAACAGUGAACCCUCUCCCUCCCGCCUUUCCCUUCGUUCCAUAGUGGCAGGCGACCCUCCCCUCUCCCUUCCCCCCUCCCCCUGUGCAGGCACACGUGCUCUCAGCGCCAGCUGCACGGCGGAAUCGCCACGAUGAAGCGUCGCACAGGCGAGCGACACCCAGAUGCGGCGGCUGUGCGCAGUGUCAGCAGCGGUGGCGGCGGCGAAAUGGCGUGUGUGUCUGCGCGGGUGCCUACCACGCCCUUUCUCGACGAAGCCCACCAUCACAACCAUGGCGAGGAGCGCGAAGACGAGACGGAGGUGACGUGCGUACGGGCGGGAGCGGGCAUUGUGUUUUUUUCUGCCACACCUCCAGCGGCCCCCUCGAGCUGUCUGUGGAGGCGCUGUCUGCGACUCCCCUCCGUGUGUCCAUCCUUAUUAUCGUCACUGUGCGCGGCGCGGCGCGGCUGGACUCGGCUGCUCUCCUCGCGUCCUGUGCGUAGUGUUGCCUCUCGCUCCUCUGCGCUGGCAUCAGCCCCACCAUGGUGCGCAUCCCUCGCCCGCGCAGCUGCUAGCCGGCUUUGCAUGUCUGACGGGCCUCAGGCAGUGAGAGAAGAUGCCGAGAAUCACGAGGCGUGCGGCACGCAGGCCGUCAAGGGUAGCGGCCGCCGCCACCGCAGCGGCCAGCGACGCCGCCACGAGACGCGAGCCACGCUCUUGACGCGGCUCCUGCGUCGUGCUGCCUUCAUCGGCGCCUCCUCGGUGGCUCUUCUUGUACUCUCUGGGAUGCUGCUGGAUGUCGUCGUAGGUGUGACUUUUCGGGUUCUGGGGAGCGUCCUCAGUGGCGGGGGCCUCGACCAACUGGAGGAGUUGCAGGCUCCGUGGCUGGACUGCGACUGUGCCGGCGAGGACCUCAUCGGCGACGUCACGCUUGCUGAUACGGUGUCGCCGUACGUGGCCCAAACGUUGGAGCGCCGCCUCGGCGUUGUUACGGUAGCCACAGAUGCAGGCUGCAGCAUCUGCGUGCCAUCGGCGGUGCGCAUCAGCGCUGCCGGGGAGCUGGUCGUGGUCGAAGACGAUGAGAGCAGCUCCCUUCACGUUCUCUCCCGUCUUCGACCGAUGGCGCCGCUUGUGCGUGCUGCACAAGCGUUGAUGGCCUACGGCUACGACGCCCUUGCCGACGUAGCCGCGGUUCUGUACCCCAAGUUGGCGAUGAUGGUGAUGUGGUGCCGUCACGCGCACGGCGUCUCCGUCGAGCGGCAUCGUGUGUCGCAGCUCCGGCAGCGGCAGAACCGCGGUGUCGCGGGUGGUGCCGUCGCACACGCGCUCACCGACGCGCCGCUGUCGCCGCUCCUACCGCCCACGUCCCUGCUAGGCGUUCCCGACGGCCCCUGGGCAAACCUCAGCGCGGCGGUGACGGCGGUGGCGGUACCGUACAAGUCCAGCUUCCUUGUCAUGGCAAACCAAACGGAAGCCCGUCUCGCAUGCGUCAUGCGGGCUCCGCUGAGUCGGCUGUUUCUGCACCGACAGGCGCUUCCGUGGAUGACCAUCACGGCGGCUGCUCACCGCACACAGCAGGAGUGGCAGGCCGACCCAAGGGGUCGAGAGCCGCUCCUGCCGUUCCCAGUGCCACCCAGCGAGGAGGAACGGCGGCGUCUGCGGGACACCUCUCGGGUCGCGCCGUACCACCUCGACGGCGACGGGGAGGCCCCUGAGAUCACCAUUGCAGUGACGGACCAGACCAAGGCUUUUCACAGCUACCUCUGCACCGACGUCCCCAAUGUAUCCACAGCGGAUGCCAUCUACCAUCUAGAUCCGCUGCGUGCGUUGCUGCUGAAGCGAACGGACGCAUCGGCGAAGGAUCGGGCGAUGGCCGCGGCGCGGUGCAGCGGGUGCGUAUUCCACUGCGUUCAUCCACGGCUGGCACGCAGGCAUCGACGACGUGCUGCACCAGCAGACGCUCGAGGCUCUGCGGAGGAUGAGGUUGAUGGUGGCAGCAGUGCCGAGCCUUCAUCGUGGGACGUCGCGCUCGAGGACGUCGAUGCUGGGCACGUUCGUGUUGCCACCAGCAGCAACGCUGCUGCUGGUGCGACGGUCACGGUGACACGCGAGGACCUGUUCACAUGCAAGGUGCUGAACCCGCCACGGGACCUCGACACGCCUGAACCCGGCGGGCACGAUGCCCAGGACGACACGAAUCGCGCGCUGCUGCUCUCUGUGGAUGUAUGGCUGUCCCACGCCGGGGGCGGAGCGCCGCUGUUCUUCUCCAACAAUACCGGCACUUCUCCGCGGCUACACAUGGACAACGACAGCGGCGAUGCGUCCGUCGUGCGGCUGCUGCCGCUGCACACCGCUGCGAUCUAUGGGGAGUCGCUGCAGAGCUUCCCCAGCUACGCGAUGCGGCCCUCUUACUGGCUCCAGUACGAUGCCGUCUACCUACAAAACAAGGUGCGGCGACCAGAUCGGCUUUCGAGGCUCUUGGCCGUAGCCAGCCGUCGCCGUGGCGGCGGGGCUGCGAAGCCGCGGACCGAGUUUGCCACAUGGACCGUGACGCACUACUACAUGCGCGACUUCCAGCUCGUCGUCUACCUGAACCAGCUGCGGCGUCAGCGGCUUCUGCUGAUGCGGCUGCAGGGAGAGUCGGCAAACGCCUCCGUGUCGGUAACGGCGCAGGACGCGCCUGUGGCGCUGCCGUGGGCACCGCCUCCGAGGCAUGGGGCCACAAGGCCCGCGAUCGCCACUGGUGCGCUGGCGCGGCUUGCCUUUGAGGUGCUGCACGGCGCCGACCCGCUUCUGCUUCCGAUGCGCGGCGAGAAUCUUCACGUGCCUCCUCUGCCGGUCUCCUGGCGCCCGCCGACGUCGGCGGAGUGGGGCAGCGGCCGACCGCAGAGUGCGGACGAUAUGCGGCUUCCGUUUUCGGGCACCACCGGACGAAUUCCGGCGAUCGCGGUCGCCAUCAGCCACUGCUGGCACGGCCGCAUGUGGUGGCUGUCGGAGCUGUCUCGCUAUUAUCCGGUGCACAACUACGGCCGAUGCGUCAUACCGCCACCUGCGCCGUUGCCCGGCGACGCGACGCCGACGCGCGGCAUCCCGCAGCGAGCGCAUCUCCCCUUUCCAUCCGAGUGCGCCGUCGACGCUUUACGUCGGCACCACUACAGCGCACUGGCGUCCAUGCAAGCGGCCUACGGGAGAGUCGGUGGCCGCAACAGCACCAGCAGUGCGGCACGUCCCAUGUCCCAUGCCGGGCGUGAUCACGAGCUGCGCUGUGUCUUCCGCAAGUACCGCUACGUCCUCGCCUUUGAGAACACGGUGGAGGACGACUACGUCACGGAGAAGGUUUACAACGCCCUGCUGUCGGGUGCGCUGCCACUUUUCAUCGGAGCGAUGAACAUCGCGGACUACGUGCCGUCGCACGGCCUCUCCGUCGUCCCGGUGCUGCAGAUGUUUCCCAUCCUGAACGAGACGGCGUGGCGGAUGGAGGAGCGCCGCGUGCUGGACCUGCUCGAGGAGGACGAGGCGGUGUCGAGGCACGUCUUGCGCACGCAUGCGGCGGUGCUGCGGGCGCGCUCGGCGGCCGCACGAUGCGCGGACGUGACGACAGGAAUGACCGCUAAGCGCAGCGACGGCGCCAUUCGGAUGGCCGGGACAGUGGCGACGGCUCUGGAGGAGGUCGCUGCGCAGACGCCGCAUGCCAUCACGAACCAUCACUACCUUCUCUACCCCUCCAAAGAGACCGCCGUACCAGCGGCGCCGACGGCCGACAACAACCAGUUACCGCAGGCCGUACCGCACGGUGCCGGCCACUUGGGCAACUGCACUUCAGGCUCUGGCGCCGCUGUGCAGCCGUUCACGUCCCCGACCGGGGUGUGGCCGCCUGCGUCGGCGCUAGCGCACCUCUCCCUUCCUGACAAGGAGACGGUCGUUACGGCCGACAAGAACGGCAGUGCUAAUCCCCGGCGUGCCGCACCCCAGUCACCAUCUACGGACGCUUACUGCGUAGGCCAUGGCCAACGGGAGUACUUGCGACGUGUGCACAGGGACGUGCGGGAGGCAGCGGAGGCUGCUGCGACGAUGUCGGCCAGAUUCUUGCCAACGACGGAGACCCUCCGCACGACCCUGAACUCAUCGCCACCGCCGCGUCACGACGCUAAAGAUGCUCAUCAUCGUCGUCCUCCCGCACUGGCGAAUGCGAGCCGAACACCACUGCGCCGCGUGCGCUACUGGUAUGACCAGGACUGGGUGCUGACCGCCAACACUGCGUGGGGCUUCAGCGCAGAUGUGAACCGCACCGCUCGCCAGCGCAGCAGCGCCGCGACGACGGGGCAUCUGCCGCGGGCAGUGCAGAGAUUUCAGGAGGCCCCCGCCACGACGCCGGCGCAGCAGGACUUCAAAACACUGGGGGGCAUGUAUUCACAGUACUUCUACCGCCGUAGCGUCCCGCCGACGCCGGCGUAUGAACGUGAGCUGGCGGCGGCAGCGGCGCCGGCAAGGAGUCGAGAAGCACCGCCACCGCCGCCGAUGAACGGCUUUGCGCAGCUUGCAGCGUACCUGCGCUCCCUCGACGCGGAUCCGACGCUCGCCGAGAAAGCCGGCUACUUCGACUGGUGGCGUGCGGAGCGCAUGGAAGAUUACGGUGACGCCUUCCUCGGCAAGUUGUACAUGCCGCACCCGGUCUGCUCGAUCUGCGCGGCGGCACUGGAGAAGAAGGAAGCACAGGCGCGGGCUUCAGCGGCGCCUACCAUCACUGGCCCGCAUACGCGGCGCGAAGGAUAGCAAGACGGUAACUGUCCGCGGAUGACCGACUACCACCGCCGCAUUGUCUUGCAUGCAUUUGUGGCUCUGCCUUGGCAUGCACGCGGCACGCUGCUGCGCGCGCACCUGUGCGACGGAGACGAGUAGGACAGGACGGGCGCGCACGCACGCGUGGAACAGAGCCAGCCGGUAGGACGACAGCCGGCGCUGAGGGAGGACAUCGACGGCGCCCGCCCGUCCUCCAGCCGACGUUCGCACGCGUGCACUCACCGACAGCCACGGCGAUGAAAAAGGAGGUAGGGCGGCGAAGCGUGUCGCCGGCGAUAGCCGACGCGCCGAUGACAUCUGCUUUGUGCUUUACGUGCAUGCAACCUUCACGGUGAACACGAGAAGGUCUUCCGCUUAUCCUGCCGCUCUUCCAACACCUCUCACCGCUGUCUCCUUUCCCGAACCCUUCGUGCAACGGGAUCUCGAUGCGCCGCACACACACACACACACACACACACGCGCGCGCGCACGGCUACACCUCUUCCACCGAUUUUGUUUUGUGCACGCGAUAG